GUGCAGCCGCCGCGGUAAUACGGAGGGUCCAAGCGUUAUCCGGAUUUAUUGGGCGUAAAGGGCGCGCAGGCGGUCUUGUCCGUCAGGUGUGAAAGCUCGGGGCUCAACCCCGGAAGUGCACUUGAAACAGCAAGACUUGAAUACGGUAGAGGAGAGAGGAAUUCCUGGUGUAGAGGUGAAAUUCGUAGAUAUCAGGAGGAACACCGAUGGCGAAGGCAUCUCUCUGGACAGAUAUUGACGCUGAGGCGCGAAGGCGUGGGUAGCGAACGGGAUUAGAUA
rnacentral:rRNA from 1 species